rnacentral:rRNA from 1 species
GAUGAACGCUGGCGGCGUGCCUAAUACAUGCAAGUCGAGCGAACAGACGAGGAGCUUGCUCCUCUGACGUUAGCGGCGGACGGGUGAGUAACACGUGGAUAACCUACCUAUAAGACUGGGAUAACUUCGGGAAACCGGAGCUAAUACCGGAUAACAUGUUGAACCGCAUGGUUCAACAGUGAAAGACGGUUUUGCUGUCACUUAUAGAUGGAUCCGCGUCGCAUUAGCUAGUUGGUAAGGUAACGGCUUACCAAGGCAACGAUGCGUAGCCGACCUGAGAGGGUGAUCGGCCACACGGGAACUGAGACACGGUCCAGACUCCUACGGGAGGCAGCAGUAGGGAAUCUGCCGCAAUGGGCGAAAGCCUGACGGAGCAACGCCGCGUGAGUGAAGAAGGUCUUCGGAUCGUAAAACUCUGUUAUUAGGGAAGAACAAAUGUGUAAGUAACUAUGCACGGCUUGACGGUACCUAAUCAGAAAGCCACGGCUAACUACGUG